GCUCCCGUAGUCUAGCCCGGCAAAGGAGAAACUGCGUUUCUCCCUUUACCCUCUUCCUUUCUGAAAAAGAAGGGAAUGAGGUUACAAGGAGAGAACCGUAGGUUCUUCUCCUGUUAGGAUAUCGGCCUCUCACGCCGAAGACGCGGGUUCAAAUCCCGCCGGGAGCA
rnacentral:tRNA from 1 species